CAAUCUCGCGUCGACGGUCAACCUCGGCGUCGAUACGGUCUCAUGGCGACCUAAAACCAAAAUAAGGGUCAGAUACAAAACACAAACAACUCUCGAUCCAAUCAAGAAAAAGUCUAGAAGUCGCCCCUGUUCCUCCUCAAAAUUAUGUCGUAUGCAGCCGACAUAAUUUCUGCCAGACACUUCUUCAAUCACUCAUUCCACUCUAGGAAUUAAAACAACUCAAUUGCCAACUUUUGCGAUAAGUCACACCUCUCGCGUCUUGCCUUCCUAAGAUUUACCAAACCUACGAUUUUUUAAGUCCCAACGACCUAAUUCUAAGCUCUAAUACCAACUUAAUCUGUCACGCCCCGGAUUAAUCGUUUUCCCGAGCACACCAACAGACCCGCCGUAUACAUAAGAAUUUUUCAUGUAUACGAAGUGAUAGCUACACCUGCAAACAAAUA
rnacentral:lncRNA from 1 species